GCUGGUGUGGCUCAGAGGUAGAGCAGCGCACUCGUAAUGCGCAGGUCGUCGGUUCAAAUCCGACCACCAGCUCCA
rnacentral:tRNA from 1 species